GAUGAACGCUAGCUACAGGCUUAACACAUGCAAGUCGCGGGGCAGCAUGGGGGUUGCUUGCAAUCCCCGAUGGCGACCGGCGCACGGGUGAGUAACGCGUAUCCAACCUGCCCUUCACCACGGGAUAACCCGGCGAAAGUCGGACUAAUACCGUAUGUUGUCCAUUGACGGCCUCCGAUUUGGACGAAAGGUUUGGCGGUGAAGGAUGGGGAUGCGUCCGAUUGGCUGGACGGCGGGGUGACGGCCCACCGUGGCGACGAUCGGUAGGGGUGCUGAGAGGACGGUCCCCCACACUGGAACUGAGACACGGUCCAGACUCCUACGGGAGGCAGCAGUGAGGAAUAUUGGUCAAUGGGCGUAAGCCUGAACCAGCCAAGGAGCGUGCAGGAUGACGGCCCUAUGGGUUGUAAACUGCUUUUAUGCGGGGAUAAAGUGGCCCACGUGUGGGUUUUUGCAGGUACCGCAUGAAUAAGGACCGGCUAAUUCCGU
rnacentral:rRNA from 1 species